rnacentral:rRNA from 1 species
CAGAACAUACUGGCGUUGCAAUCCGAUGACACGAUGAAGACCAUCCUGGCGCAGGUCGAGGCCAGACGAAAGCAGCAACAACAGGGAGACGGCAAAGGGAAGCGCAAAGAUGGAAAGAAACAAACGGAUGUGACGGUUGAAUACGAUGAGAUACCCAGGCUUUCCAAGCUGUAAUCGAUAC